rnacentral:lncRNA from 1 species
UAUAGGUGUCUAAAGAAGAAAAAAAGGGUGAUGUCGCAACCGAAAUCGCGACGGGACGACGACGAUCCAAAAAAAAGAUAAAUAAGUUUAGAAAAAGAGAUUUUGGAGUCGCCACCAUAGUUUAUUCUGGAAAACUAUGGAAAAAACCAUAAAAUGAUAAGGCAAGGUCUGCGAAAACUGAAUUUCGGGUUCGAGAGUCGGUUACGUGUAGGGAAGGUGUUAGCACCCUACAACGCCUGCCCGAAGGCAGUACCUUUAAUUACAUGCGCGAAUAAAGAUAUGGUUUGCGAAAUGUUUAACUAUCCCAAGAACAACAAAAUAAAGAAACAAAAUAUUUUUUAGGUUUUUUGGGCCCGACAAGGAUUGACCUUGCUCCUACGUAUUCUCAGUCAUACUGAGAAAUCAGGGUUACGUAGUUCUUUCUGAAAAUUUGUUGUUUGAAGAUGUUUUUAGUUUUUGAAGAUUUUAUAUUUUUUUGGUAUUUUUAUAUAAAAAGAAAAAAGGUUUUUUAGCACAAGGCCUACGCGAGCGGUCGCACGUGUGCUUAAACCUUUUAAAAAUAUUUUUGAUCAUUUUUGUAAAAGAGAGAAGGAAAAGAUCUUCAGNNNNNNNNNNNNNNNNNNNNNNNNNNNNNNNNNNNNNNNNNNNNNNNNNNNNNNNNNNNNNNNNNNNNNNNNNNNNNNNNNNNNNNNNNNNNNNNNNNNNNNNNNNNNNNNNNNNNNNNNNNNNNNNNNNNNNNNNNNNNNNNNNNNNNNNNNNNNNNNNNNNNNNNNNNNNNNNNNNNNNNNNNNNNNNNNNNNNNNNNNNNNNNNNNNNNNNNNNNNNNNNNNNNNNNNNNNNNNNNNNNNNNNNNNNNNNNNNNNNNNNNNNNNNNNNNNNNNNNNNNNNNNNNNNNNNNNNNNNNNNNNNNNNNNNNNNNNNNNNNNNNNNNNNNNNNNNNNNNNNNNNNNNNNNNNNNNNNNNNNNNNNNNNNNNNNNNNNNNNNNNNNNNNNACAAGGCCUACGCGAGCGGUCGCACGUGUGCUUAAAUCUUUCCAAAAUAUUCUUAUUUGAUUUUAAUUUUUGUAAAAGAAAAGAAAGAGAUCUUCAGCACAAGGCCUACGCGAGCGGUCGCACGUGUGCUUAAAUCUCUCCAAAAUAUUUUUUAAUUGAUUUUAAUUUUUGUAAAAGAAAAGGAAGAGAUCUUCAGCACAAGGCCUACGCGAGCGGUCGCACGUGUGCUUAAAUCUUUCCAAAAUAUUUUUUAAUGAUUUUAAUUAAUUUUUUAUGAUUUUUUUAUAUUUUUAUUUUUAACAAUCAAAUAAUAAUAAAACAAAUUUUAAAGAUAAAAAAUAAAAGCAAAAACAAUAAUAAAAAAAACAAUACAGUCCAAUAGGCCCAAUAAGAAAUAUGGGAGUGCAGAAGACAAAACCAGGAGUGCAAUAUGAAAUUCCUUGGUCCAGGCCCAAAGAUAGGGGGUGCGGCAGCAAAAUUGGAGGUGGCGCGUAGUAGUUGUUGGUCAGGUCCAAGGUCUCUUUUUUUUGUUUGCAGAAGUGGUGUCAAUAGAGUUGUGCGGUGGCGGACAGAGAAAUCACAACCCAAGCCCAAAGCCUUUUCUGUUUUUUUUUUGUUUGCUGAAUAGGAAUGGGGGUGUGAAACGUGAAUGAGGGGUGCAGGGAAGAACAGAGAACCCAUCAGCCAGGCCCAAGGCCACUUAACCCUAAACUGGUCAGGGUUCCUCCAAUCUCUUCUCAUUUUUGCCAAACGUUGCACCCAAGAUCUCCUCCUUCCUUGAACAAAAAACUCAAAGACACCUCCCCGCCGCUCACGAUCACGGCCAACCUCCACCGUCACCAUCCACCGCAGUCCACUGUUCAUGGCGUCGACACUCACCAUUGGAGCCCUCGCCAGCCACGACGCUAGGCUCCCUUUCGCCACGCAGCCGCUUCGACCAGCACGGCCACACCUCAGUUUGGUCAGCCAAGGGUGUCACCGGCAACGUCGCCUGCACCGCUACCCGUCCCCUCUUCACGUGAGGUUUCUUCUUCUCCCCGUGUUGCGCCCUCACCGUUACGUUCUUCUGUUGCCGGCUUUGUGAACCGCAUAUGUUUCAGUUGCCGCUUGCGACGCCAACUCAGGAAUAACGCAACUCACUGAAUCUCCAUCUUCGCACGUCUCAGCCUCAAUUCCCCUCCUUCAUCACUACCUUUGAUUGCUCUUUAGCAAUUUAGAUGUAGCUACUGUAACUUGGUUUUCUGAUUGGGUGCUCUUCACUUGGUUUUCUUUCUUUGCAUUUUCUGUUGUAGGUGAAAGAGUGAUAGGGGCCUAUGAUGGCGGGCACCAGGAUGAAGGAAAUCAAACGUGGUGAUGAUGAGUUAGUGUGAUGCCUUUGAUGAUGACGAUGCCGUAAAAGUGGGUGAGGUUAAUUGGGGUUGUUCUGUUGAAUUUGCAGGUGACAAAUAGAUGUUGGGUGAUGAAAAUGUAAGAAGGUAAAGCAUGAUUGAGUUUCUCUGUUUUGUUUCUUUUUCUGAAAAUGGUGGAGGUUAGGAAAUGGGAGAAUGGGUUCUGCUCUGUUUUGCUUUGGUAUUGGGUUUCUGUAAUCUAUGAUGAAGGUGGUGAUGGCUAGCCAAAAGGGGGGCUGUGUGUGAAGAAUGGAAAGAAAUUGAGGCCAAAAUCAAAGAGUAUGCGUGGAUGGUGCACUAGGUGGUCUUUCUUCUGUUGUUGGUGAGGAAUUGAGAGUGAAAACAAAACGUGAUUGGGUGUUUAUCGGUGAGGGGAGAGAGGAGUCGUGAGCCAAAAGGGAAUGUCGUGUGCGUGAUGGGUGAUGAGAUCUUGUGUGUGUGAAGGAAAAGGGUUAUUCGUCUCUGUUUUGGUUUGGUUAUGUGUUUUCGUUAUGGAGGGGGUCGUGAAUGAUAGGCCUUCUUUGAGUUUUCAGGUGCCGGACCAAAUGGAGGAGAGGCGAUGGUGAUUCUGUUAAGUUGAUUAGGUUGGAAAAAUGGUGGAUACUAUGGUUUUGAGUGUAUCGAAGGAGAUGGAAGGGAAUAAGGGCCAAAGAGCUGAUUCCGUUGGAGGAAAAAUGGGUUCUUGUAUGUGAUUUUUGUUGAGGUGGUCCUAGAUGGUGAGCAGAGAGGUGGAGAGAAAAGGAAUCUGUCUGAUGAGGGAGGGUGAUACGUGUGUGUGAUUGAUGAUGAGGCCUAGAGUGCGUUUCCUUGCCUCCUUGCCAAAACCGUUUUCUGGCCAAAACCAAAUACCCCAAACGCUUUGCCCUUUUUCAAAAAAAAACCGUUUCCCUUUUCACAAACGACAAACCAACUUUCUACUUUUUUUUAUUUCUUUUCUUUAUUUCUUUUUUUUAUUUCUUUUCAUUUUCUUUUUUUUUCUUUUUUUUUCAAUUUUCGUUUUCUCUUUUUUUUCUUUUUUUUUUUGCAAUUAAAGUCAAUAAUAAUAAAAAAAAAAAACUAAAUCAAAUACUAAAUAGUAAAAACAAAAAUUAAACAAAUAAACAAAAAUAAAAUAAAAUAAAAUAAGACAAAAAUAAAAACUAGUCCUAUUACUCAAUCACCCAGACGAAAUUGGGUGUUGACAGGUGCCUACAUCUCUUUUAAAAACAGUCGGGCUUAAGCCCAAACUGGAUGGGGUUGAGAUAUGAAUAAAAGGGGCGCAGAAAAACAUUUUUUGUUUGUGUUUGACUUGGCCCAGCAUUGGCCCAGACAGAAAUUAAAAGGGGGUGCUUGCGUUUAAAAGGGGUGAAGGUAAAGUUGUUUUCUUGACAUGGCCAGCCUAAGCACUCAAGCCCAAAGUUCUUCCUGACCUAGAAACGCAUGAGGGGUUCAAACCUCCCCACCUCAUUCUGCACUCUCAAGCUCAAUACACCAGAGAGGGAAGGUUUCUCUCUCGCAGAGCUCAGGGUUACGCCACCGAGCCACCACUUCUUCGAAUCAAGCCACCGCGGCGGCCCUCCGACAGCAGACGUCACCGGAAUCACGGCCGGCCACGACACCUUCUCCCCUUCUCCCUCUCUCUCGCACUAGCCUAGGGUUGGGGCCUUUCCACCCUUGAACACCGCUUGCCACCGCUUCUCUGCCACCGCCUUCAUCGCAAGCGCCAGCCAGACCGCACACUCCCAUGACUGUCGCGACAAUGCCCCGUCUCCUCCAUCACCGCGUCACCGUGCUCCACUUCCACAGCCUAGGCCGCAGGAACUCAGCACCGUCGUGCCAUCAACAACGACAAUGUCUCGCUUCUUCACCUCCGUCACCUUCGUCCGAACUCCAUGCUUCGCCAGUCUCCGAUCUAAUUUUGCUUCAUUGUGGUAUGACAGAAAAGGGGCAGAGAAAGGGGAAGAAGAGAAAAGAACAGCCUCUGCUUGCUCUAAACGCACUUGCAUAAUAAUCCAACUCGUGCUAGGGGUCGCCGCGACUUUCGAAAGAGCAGAAAGGUGAGUUGGGGAACUGGUUUACGAAUGAAAUUUGAUAAAGAUAUCCUCCCUUGUAUUAUUCUAAGACUCAAGAAAUUGAAACAAGCACCAAGGUAUUGAAUCUGGUUUUUGUUGUUGGUUUCCUUUGACGCGAACGAAAGGUGAAUAGAACAUAAGUACUGUUGGAUUCAUUAUGUAGUGUACUGUGUGAGUUUCUGUUUAACAGGGUGUGAGUUUCUGUUUAACAGGGUGUGAGUUUUUCUGAUGGCGUUAUGUGUGUUGGCUUUGUGGAAAAGGAGAGAGCGCCAAAAUUGUUUCAAUGUGUUCAAUGUGCGCUUUGUAUGGUGCGUGUUAAGGAUGCGAUGGAGAGGUUUGGAUAUGGUGAUGGCACCUUAACAACAGGUUGGACUAGAUUCAUCUUCCUUGUUGAUGAGAAAAAAAAUCAAAGUUUGGGGUGCAGAUUCUAUAAAAGUAACCCUGAUUUAAGAAAAUGAAAGAGGAAGCAAUGCUUCACUCUCUGGAUAGGACCUCUCAUGGUGUUUCGGGGACGUUGAGAGCUUUGGAAGAUCACAACUCACGCUGCUCAGUGGCUUCUAAGAGGGGGAAGAGAAUAAAUUUCCAUGAAACCUUGUUAUGCAAGGUGUGCUCAUGGAAAGGGGAUGGAGAUGCAGCGAAAAAAACAAUCAUAGUGUUUCGGUAGGAAUUUAUUGGGACCGAAAGCACUAACCUCAGUGGCGCGAUUCUGCCUCCUUCUGAUGCGAAAUCUCCAAUUGCCUUCGCCGUCCGUUCUUCUGACCGUCCGUCACGCUCUGAUCUUUGCCCAGGAGGGGGGUGGUACCUGUAAAGGCACUCCGAUGAUCAAGUUAGAUGUCAGUAUAGGAAGGACCUCUGUCCUCAGCAAGUGGAUGCCUAGAACGGAGAGAGGGUGGAACUCAAUCAAGUAUGAGAGUAUCAGUGUAGGUUGAAUUGUGCGUAGAGUAAGCUAAAUUGUGCGUACCUUGUUUGGAGGCUUUUGUUCUUUAUUUAUAGGCUUUGGAUCAAUAUAACAAAAUAAAAUAUAAACAGAAUGAAAUAUAAACAAACUUACCUGAAAUAUCUCUGUUGAGAUAUUAUUUGAUACGAGAUAUAUAUGAUGAUACUGUUCCGUUAUUCGUGUUUGUUGAGCCCAAUAAGGCUGGAUAAUUCGGCCCAUUUACCUGGUAGGCUUGACCGUUCGGUGUAACCGGUCGUCCGGGAUAUACUAUCGUACAUCAUCCCCCCAAGUCCAAAGGAAGGACGAGGCUUUAGCCUGAUGUGACUGCAGGACUUUGAUGAGUGUUGGGAAGGAUAGUGGCCGAUUGGUGUGGGAUAANUGAGUNGUCCGUAUUGUUGACCGUUCGUACUGAUUAGUGCCCUAGUGGUAGGCAAACAGACAUGUGUAGUUUUGCCAGUGUAAAUUAAACGACGCAAUCAUAUCGUCGUUUAACUUUUAAACACAUAAAUGGAUUUUCCCGCGUUACGGUAGUGGCAGAGUCGCCAAAUUAGAACGUUAGAUCUCAGGCAUCCAACGGUGUAGGUAAUGCGACAUUUUCGUAACCUCCACGCUUUUGAAAAGUAUAAUGAUUUGGAAAUGAACCGUCAUUUCAUCGUUGUUUCCUGCGUUUGCCCUCAGAAGCUCUUGCUUUGCCCAAGUAUUCUGCACUUGCUUCGACCUCCAUUUCCAGGUAACAAUGGCUUCUUCCCCUCCUGCCCUUACUUUGUCUGAUAGUGAAAAUAGGAAUCGUAAUGUUCCGUCGUCAUCUAGCCGUAGAGUCGUAGGGUCUGUAGAGUCGUUAUUGAGUGGUGACAAGGUUUUUGUUAAUGGCGGGGUCGAGGUAGAAAAUUCCGGGCAAGAAUGUGCUUCUUGUUCCUUAGAUUAUUCGUGGGCAUCGCGGGAAGUAGGUGAGCAAUACACUAUUUUUAUUAGUAGAGAUAUACUAUCAGGAUGGGUAGAAGAUAACUGCAUCCUUCGAACCCUAGGCUAUAAGGCCGCCGUGAACUUAGUGGCUUGCAAGAAGGGAGAAAGAGUGUUUCACGGGGAAGAGGUCGCCGAAGAGGGUUGUUUUUACAUGUAUCUGUGUUUAUUUUACCAUAUGUACGUUCGUCUUCCUUUUACUCGGUUCCAAAUGGAUGUCCUCCGAUACCUAAACGUAGCUCCUUCCCAAUUACAUCCGAACAGCUGGGCGUACAUCCAAGCGUUCGGUGUAUUGUGUCAAGCCCUAGAUAUUAACCCAACGGCCAAAAUAUUCUUGUAUUUUUUCAAGAGCCGGCCGAACGCCAAAAAGGGGUGGGUUUCCCUUAGUUCCUAGGCAAAGGAUGCCAUAUUUCACUUGUUUGCUGAGUCGUUUCAAGACUUCAAAAACCACUUUUUCAAGGUGUCAGUUAAAUCGAGGGGUAAGCCAUUUUUUCUAAACGAUGAUGGUAGUUCCAAGUUCCCCUUAUUUUGGACUAGAAAUCCUCGAACUUUGACCUCUUGGCCUAAAGAGGAUAUGACUGACGUCGAAAAGAGGGACCUGGAUAUUUUGAUUAAACUAUCCCGUCCGUUUUCUUCGAGGAAGAUGGUGAAUUGUCUGAAGUUCAACGACCUUAAGUCGAAGGUUUCUGGUAGGUGUUUGUUGCUGAUUAUUGUUCCCGGUGAGGUUGAAUAUCCUUACUGAUUUGUUGUGUAUCCUUUUACAGACUAUAAUGUCCACUAUUUACACAAAACCGACCGCGUUUGAUCCAAUCAAGCCUACUUGUUACAAAAACGAGCGACAACACAACACACCAAGCGUGUUCAAGAUUUACAACCAACCAAGCCUCAAAUCGACUAAGUCUCGAUGAUUUAUCCUAACGAUCUGGCGACAAGCAAUCAUGUGAAGUUUGGAGAAUUCAAACAUGCAAUGUAUUCACACCAAGAUCAAAAAACAAAGGUACAAAGUUCAAAUUCAGAAGUAAAAUGCCCACAUGGGCCAAAUAACAAGAGAAACAAAACAUAGUGUUUAAGACACUCCCACAGAGAUUACAAAAUAAGGCAUAAAUAUUAUCUUCAAGUCUCUGUGUUGACUGCUUCAUUCUGCUCGGUCCCAGUUUCUUGACCGGCCGCCUCCACAACAGGAUCACCUUCUUCAGUAAAGGUGCCCUCAUGAAUGUCAUCGAUCGACACCAUACGUCCCUCAUAGAUGUCCUGUUCUAUGUCAAAGCCCAAGCCUGCAGGAUCAACCUUGGCCAAGAAAUUCAUUUGCCUCAAUGCCUUUUUGAAGCCCUUCGUAUGUUCAAGGUCAAUUGCUUCCAUCAUCUCGGCCUCGGUUUGUUUCCACUCAGUUCUCUCCUGCCUCAGUUCGACAUUUGUCUUCUCCAACUCUUCUCGUUUUUUUUCGAUCUCACUCAGCCUCGCAAUAUUCUUCCUAGCCUCCUCCAUGUCCUUCAGCACAUUAUCACGCUCGGUCUUCAGCUCUUGACCAAUCUUACGCAACCCUUCCACCUCCUUCUUAACUUCUGCAAGGGCCUUUGCAGCUUCCUCGGCCUUUUCCUCACAACUUGCGUGAGUAGCAUUGAGGUCAUCUAAUUCCUUUCGGAGGCGGUUCACUUCGCUUUGAACUUCCCCUCUAUUAGAAGCAUACACCAUUUUGAAAGCUGCGGCACCGGCCCGAAGAAGAACGUCGAGCAAGAACUCAGACAUUUGUUGCUCGGACAUGGAGGCCAUCACCUUCUCCUCAGCAGCAUCGAAAUGGAAUUCGAUCUUGUGUCUAAGAUCGAAACCGGGGUCCCACAUCCCUUGGGGCAAAGGGCGAAGUUCGGACGGGUCACCGCUCUCUCUUACGGUCCUCUCUACACCGGGUGAUGAUUCCCCCGCCUCGAUGCCGGUUUUUCCUUUGCCGAGUACGUUGGUCACUCCCUCAACCCGUGCGACUUUUCUCUUCCGCGUCCAUACUUCUUCGGGAGAGGGUGGAGUGUCAUCUACAUGCACAACCGUGACCGGCACAGCCUGGCCGGACGAUGAUCCGGCUCCUUUCUUGGCCGCACGAACUUUACCGAACCAGUCUCUCUUAGGGGCCAUCAGUUCUGUAAAAGGAUACACAACAAAUCAGUAAGGAUACUCAACCUCACUGGGAACAAUAAUCAGCAACAAACACCUACCAGAAACCUUCGACUUAAGGUCGUUGAACUUCAGACAAUUCACCAUCUUCCUCGAAGAAAACGGACGGGAUAGUUUAAUCAAAAUAUCUAGGUCCCUCUUUUCGACGUCAGUCAUAUCCUCUUCAGGCCAAGAGGUCAAAGUUCGAGGAUUUCUAGUCCAAAAUAAGGGGAACUUGGAACUACCAUCAUCGUUUAGAAAAAAUGGCUUACCCCUCGGUUUAAUUGACACAUUGAAAAAGUGGUUUUUGAAGUCUUGAAACGACUCAGCAAACAAGUGAAAUAUGGCAUCCUUUGCCUAGGAACUAAGGGAAACCCACCCCUUUUUGGCAUUCGGCCGGCUCUUGAAAAAAUACAAGAAUAUUUUGGCCGUUGGGUUAAUAUCUAGGGCUUGACACAAUACACCGAACGCUUGGAUGUACGCCCAGCUGUUCGGAUGUAAUUGGGAAGGAGCUACGUUUAGGUAUCGGAGGACAUCCAUUUGGAACCGAGUAAAAGGAAGACGAACGUACAUAUGGUAAAAUAAACACAGAUACAUGUAAAAACAACCCUCUCCGACGACCUCUUCCCCGUGAAACGCUCUUUCUCCCUUCUUGCAAGCCACUAAGUUCACGGCGGCCUUACAGCCUAGGGUUCGAAGGAUGCAGUUAUCUUCUACCCAUCCUGAUAGUAUAUCUCUUCUAAUAAAAAUAGUGUAUUGCUCACCUACUUCCCGCGAUGCCCACGAAUAAUCUAAGGAACAAGAAGCACAUUCUUGCCCGGAAUCUUCUACCUCGACCCCGCCAUUAACAAAAACCUUGUCGCCACUCAAUAACGACUCUACAGACCCUACGACUCUACGGCUAGAUGACGACGGAACAUUACGAUUCCUAUUUUCACUAUCAGACAAAGCAAGGGCAGGAGGGGAAGAAGCCAUUGUUACCUGGAAAUGGAGGUCGAAGCAAGUGCAGAAUACUUGGGCAAAGUAAGAGCUUCUGAGGGCAAACGCAGGAAACAACGAUGAAAUGACGGUUCAUUUCCAAAUCAUUACACUUUUCAAAAGCGUGGAGAUUACGAAAAUGUCGCAUUACCUACACCGUUGGAUGCCUGAGAUCUAACGGUUCUAAUUUGGCGACUCUGCCACUACCGUAACGCGGGAAAAUCCAUUUAUGUGUUUAAAAGUUAAACGACGAUAUGAUUGCGUCGUUUAAUUUACACUGGCAAAACUACACAUGUCUGUUUGCCUACCACUAGGGCACUAAUCAGUACGAACGGUCAACAAUACGGACNACUCANUUAUCCCACACCAAUCGGCCACUAUCCUUCCCAACACUCAUCAAAGUCCUGCAGUCACAUCAGGCUAAAGCCUCGUCCUUCCUUUGGACUUGGGGGGGAUGAUGUACGGUAGUAUAUCCCAGACGACCGGUUACACCGAACGGUCAAGCCUACCAGGUAAAUGGGCCGAAUUAUCCAGCCUUAUUGGGCUCAACAAACACGAAUAACGGAACAGUAUCAUCAUAUAUAUCUCGUAUCAAAUAAUAUCUCAACAGAGAUAUUUCAGGUAAGUUUGUUUAUAUUUCAUUCUGUUUAUAUUUUAUUUUGUUAUAUUGAUCCAAAGCCUAUAAAUAAAGAACAAAAGCCUCCAAACAAGGUACGCACAAUUUAGCUUACUGUACGCACAAUUCAACCUAUUCUACGCAGAUUCUCACACUCAUACUCUCAUACUUGAUUGAGUUUCACCCUCUCUCCGUUCUAGGCAUCCACUUGCUGAGGACAAAGGGCCUUCCUAUACCGACAUCUAACUUGAUCGUCGGAGUGCCUUUACAGGUACCACCCCCCUCCCGGGCAAAGAUCAGAGCGUGACGGACGGUCGGAGGAACGGACGGCGAAGACAAUUGGAGAUUUCGCAUCAGAAGGAAGCAGAAUCACGCCAUCAUAACAAGUCAUGUUCAAGAUCCAACAUAUUAGCUAAACCGGGAUAGAAGACUUACCUUGGUGUUGAAGUCUUUGCUUGAUUUUCUUCCGGUGACGAUCUCCUUUUCCUCCCUCCGUGCAGGUCCACUGAAAUUGUGCUCUCAAGGGUCUCCGAUUCUUGAUUCAGUGAGAAGUGUUCCCUUCUUUUGCUUCGUAGUGCCCUUUUCUUAGGUCCCAAUCCCCUUUUGCGUGACUGCCUGUGCUUUUUUGCGUGACUGCUUUGCUCCCCCUCCCAUACCUUAUUUACAGAACCUACCUCUCCCAGUCAAAGCUUCUUUUUUUUUUUGUCAUUUUUUUCAUUGUUUUUUUUAUAUAAUAAAGACAAAAUGGAACAUUUCAAACUUUUUCUUUUUCCUAUUUAUAUUAAUUAUGUUUAACUAAUAUUAUGUUUAACUAUGCUAAUUAUAUUAGAACACCACUCAAAAGAAAAACUAAAAACAAAGAUUAAAAAUAAAAAUAAAAAUAAAAAUAAAGAGAUAAAAAAUGAAAUAAAAUAAAGCUAAAAUAAUAGAAAUAAAAUAAAAAUAACAAUAAAGAUAAAAAUGGAAAUUGAGAAAAAACCUAUGAUAACACAAUAGAAUAAAGCAAAAUGGAAAACUUUGACAGUCAAAAUUACUUAGAACGAAUUGCAAUUUCAGCUUCAUCUAUCACAAACGUUAGAAGUAGUUUCAUUUUAGGUUGGAAAUUUGAACUCUUAUUAUUAUCUAAUUGGGUGAUUUUUGGUUGCAGGGAAAGGACAUGCUUAAAAGAUGUUUUUGCCGAAUUUCAUGAGCAGAAAAAGCUUUCAGAAAUGUAAUGUAAUAGCUUUUGAAGUGAAAACUUGACCAGCCCAAAAAGGUUAUUGAGUAUGUGAAUUAUCCAAUGUUUCUUUUUAAUAUUGUUUCAGGCUUUCGUUCCAUCUCUUCAUAUACAAUAAUUUUGUUAUUAAUCUGAUCUCUUUUUAACUGUUGUUUCUAAAUGAACUCAUUGGUGAGAGUGGUCACCUUUAUUAUUCAAAUAAAAGAACAUUCAAAAUGGAAGGUUAAAAAAGUGUUAUAUAUAAAAUCAGUGAUUAUCUUUCAUCUGCUCAGCUCUUGGUAAGGCUGGUCCAUGAUGUCGCAACCGAAAUCGUG